AGUGAACGCUGGCGGUAGGCCUAACACAUGCAAGUCGAACGGCAGCACAGUAAGAGCUUGCUCUUACGGGUGGCGAGUGGCGGACGAGUGAGGAAUACAUCGGAAUCUACUUUUUCGUGGGGGAUAACGUAGGGAAACUUACGCUAAUGCCGCAUACGACCUACGGGUGAAAGCAGGGGAUCUUCGGACCUUGCGCGAUUGAAUGAGCCGAUGUCGGAUUAGCUAGUUGGCGGGGUAAAGGCCCACCAAGGCGACGAUCCGUAGCCGGUCUGAGAGGGUGAUCAGCCACACUGGAACUGAGACACGGUCCAGACUCCUACGGGAGGCAGCAGUGGGGAAUAUUCGACAAUGGGCGCAAGCCUGACGCAGCCAUGCCGCGUGGGUGAAGAAGGUCUUCGGGUCGUAAAGCUCUUUUGUUGGGAAAGAAAAGCAGCAGGUUAAACCCCCGCUGUUCUGACGGUACCCAAAGAAUAAGCACCGGCUAACUACGUG
rnacentral:rRNA from 1 species